rnacentral:snRNA from 1 species
AAUUGGAACAAUACAAAGAAGAUUAGCACGGUCCCUGCGCAAGAAUGACACACAAAUUCAUGAAGCAUUCCAUAUAUAA